rnacentral:rRNA from 1 species
UACGGAGGAGGCAAGCGUUAUCCGGAAUUAUUGGGCGUAAAGCGUCCGCAGGGGGCACUUCAAGUCUGCCGUCAAAGACCGGGGCUUAACCCCAGAAAGGCGGUGGAAACUGAAGCGCUAGAGUGCGGUAGGGGUAGAGGGAAUUCCCGGUGUAGCGGUGAAAUGCGUAGAGAUCGGGAAGAACAUCGGUGGCGAAAGCGCUCUACUGGACCGCAACUGACACUGAGGGACGAAAGCUAGGGGAGCGAAUGGG